rnacentral:lncRNA from 1 species
CUGAACAUGUAUUUCUACAUGGCUGAACAUGUAUUUCAACAUGGCUGAUAUUCUGAACAUGUAUUUCUACAUGGCUGAGCAAGUAUAAUCAAACAUGAACUAAGAGCAUAUAAAAACAUACAUGAAUAUAACCACAAGCAUAUAAUCCCUCACCUUAAUAUCGAAACUUAUAAAUUCAAUCAAAAUCCGGAACGAGGUUUCUAGUUGCACCGCACC